CCGAGUUGUCUUUGGGCCCUUUAAGGCCCAAGCACUCCCCAUACUCUGCUUGAGACCCCCGUUAAGGUCCUGCUUCGGCCCUCGGCGGUAGGUGGGUAGGCUCUGCCCUGCCCGCUGCCCGCCUAAGGCCGGAGGGGCCCGCCGCGUUCGAGCCGCUGUUGCGGCCGGCCGGCGCAAAUCUCCAACCACGUAUCAGAGUGUUUGCGGCAGAAGCCGAACCAAACAACA
rnacentral:misc_RNA from 1 species